CCACUGAGAUCUGCUGCCGUUGACGUUGCCGGAGUUCUGGUCGCCGCUGCCGUUCGAGGUGGCUGCCGGAGCUGCCGCUAAACCAAUUCAGCGACCGCCGCUGUUUCAUUUUCUUAGUUCGGGUUGUGUUUUGAGCAUUGCAUGUUGCUUUUAAGUUGCUGUGAGUGCUGCAAAAGUGAUCAGGGACUGAGUUUGCGGUUGCUGUUGGUUUCGGGUUAAGAGAAAUGGUUUCGUUGACGCAUUUUAAGUUAUGGUUUCGACGAGUCGAGCUUUACCUUUUCAAGAACCGGAUGAAGAAGCGUUAAGAAGAGUUAUACUGCGUUUGGUU